CCCUGGUGGCGAGCGGCGGACGGGUGAGUAAUGCAUAGGAAUCUGCCCGGUAGUGGGGGAUAACCUGGGGAAACCCAGGCUAAUACCGCAUACGUCCUACGGGAGAAAGCAGGGGCUCUUCGGACCUUGCGCUAUCGGAUGAGCCUAUGUCGGAUUAGCUGGUUGGUGAGGUAAUGGCUCACCAAGGCGACGAUCCGUAGCUGGUCUGAGAGGAUGAUCAGCCACAUCGGGACUGAGACACGGCCCGAACUCCUACGGGAGGCAGCAGUGGGGAAUAUUGGACAAUGGGGGCAACCCUGAUCCAGCCAUGCCGCGUGUGUGAAGAAGGCCCUCGGGUUGUAAAGCACUUUCAGUGGGGAAGAACGCCUGACGGUUAAUACCCGUCAGGGAAGACAUCACCCACAGAAGAAGCACCGGCUAACUCCGUGCCAGCAGCCGCGGUAAUACGGAGGGUGCGAGCGUUAAUCGGAAUUACUGGGCGUAAAGCGCGCGUAGGCGGCUUGAUAAGCCGGUUGUGAAAGCCCCGGGCUCAACCUGGGAACGGCAUCCGGAACUGUCAGGCUAGAGUGCAGGAGAGGAAGGUAGAAUUCCCGGUGUAGCGGUGAAAUGCGUAGAGAUCGGGAGGAAUACCAGUGGCGAAGGCGGCCUUCUGGACUGACACUGACGCUGAGGUGCGAAAGCGUGGGUAGCAAACAGGAUUAGAUACCCUGGUAGUCCACGCCGUAAACGAUGUCGACUAGCCGUUGGGUCCUUCGCGGACUUUGUGGCGCAGUUAACGCGAUAAGUCGACCGCCUGGGGAGUACGGCCGCAAGGUUAAAACUCAAAUGAAUUGACGGGGGCCCGCACAAGCGGUGGAGCAUGUGGUUUAAUUCGAUGCAACGCGAAGAACCUUACCUACCCUUGACAUCCUGCGAACCCUUCGGAGACGAAGGGGUGCCUUCGGGAACGCAGAGACAGGUGCUGCAUGGCUGUCGUCAGCUCGUGUUGUGAAAUGUUGGGUUAAGUCCCGUAACGAGCGCAACCCUUGUCCCUAUUUGCCAGCGAUUCGGUCGGGAACUCUAGGGAGACUGCCGGUGACAAACCGGAGGAAGGUGGGGACGACGUCAAGUCAUCAUGGCCCUUACGGGUAGGGCUACACACGUGCUACAAUGGUCGGUACAAAGGGUUGCGAGCUCGCGAGGGCAAGCCAAUCCCAGAAAGCCGAUCUCAGUCCGGAUCGGAGUCUGCAACUCGACUCCGUGAAGUCGGAAUCGCUAGUAAUCGUGAAUCAGAAUGUCACGGUGAAUACGUUCCCGGGCCUUGUACACACCGCCCGUCACACCAUGGGAGUGGACUGCACCAGAAGUGGUUAGCCUAACCUUCGGG
rnacentral:rRNA from 2 species